GUGAAAUUAAGUACGCUUGGGAACUAACACAACGUGUGAAUGGCAAUGAGGAAGAGCAAGACAUCAAUAACUUUGGCUCUUUCACUGAGGACGUUGGUGGUGGCGUUGUGUACUUUGAAGCCAAACCCGAUUCACUUGAAGAGUUAAGUACAUACAUCAUUAGGGUUAGUGCGAGUGUUGAGGGAUUCAUGGAUAGCAAAACUGCAAUUGAAUUUGUAACUACAAGACCACCCAGCGGUGGAACAUGUGCCCCUGACAGGCCUGAAGGUGAGGCAUUGGAAAAAUUUGAAAUCAUGUGUACUGGCUGGGAAGACGAUGAUGAUGCUGGCAAUAUAGUCGAAUUCAAAAAUCCAAGCUUCACAUAUUUCUACCCAGGCCAAGUGAUUGGAACUGCAAACAGAGUGUUAAUCCUGCCACCAGGAAAGGAAGCUGAUGACUAUAAUGUAGAAAUUGAAAUCCAGGUUGCUGAUGAAUUCGGCUCAUAUGCUACAGUCGUAACCCCAGUCAAGGUAACCCCUAAGAGUGGAGCUGCAGAUAGUCUAAUGGAUUCACUGACUUCAUCAUCAGCUUCUAAUUCACUUGUAUCAUUAUCAUCUGUGACAUCAGUAGUUGGCACGUUGAUCUCCAUGGAUGAAGAGGAAGAGGUUGAGGAGGAGGUGGACACUUCAAAAUCACAUAGUGUCUCAGCCUCAAACAAAAAUUCUAUUACUAAGCAGAAGAAGAAGAGGAGAAAAACUAGUAGAGCGAGUAAAUUGGUCUCAUUUAUGAGUAGUCUGGUGUCUGCUGCAUCGGAGGUGACAGCCUCACAGGUCGAGAGUUUGUUGCAACUACAGGCUCAAAUGGGACCUUCUAUGGCGAGUGGAGACACCGAUGAUGACACUAAGGCAGAAGCCAUUGGAAUGACAGCCACCUUACUGAGCAGUGGACAGCUCAACAACAUGCCACCAGCUGCACAGCUUAGUGCUAUCACAAAUGCAGCAGCAUCUAUGGGAAGCUCGUUGGCAACAAUGUCAGUAACAGUAGAAACUGAAGUUGGACCCCUUGAGGCCGAUCCAGAGGAAGCCGUGUCUUUUGAAGUCGACCCCAAUAAUCUGAAAACUGAUUCAGAACUUGAGGCUGAGAGACUUGCCCAACUUGAAAAAGAAAAGAAAGCAGAAACUGAAAAACUGAAAGCAGUUGCAAAGCAGUUAACUGAUGCAGCUGACAGUAUGGCACAAGCCUUAUUGAGCAAUGCACGGAUGGACGCUGAGCCAACUGCAGCUGGUGAUGAAAACCUUUUUGUAUCAGCAAUGAAGAGUAGUAUAUUUGGACUUGAACAAGAAAAGCCGGUUGAGUCACCUGGGAGUACAUUAUCACUGCCCUCUGCUGCAGAUCUUAUGGGAGUUGAUGAUCUAUCAGAACUCCCUCCAGAUAGAGUAUCAAAAUAUUCAUUCAGCACUAAGCUUUCGUUUUUGGCUUCAAACAUAUUCAGUUAUGCAGAGAACUCCAGCUCGGUUGCCAAUGACCCAUUGACCCUCCUGAACGUGAAGGAUGAAUCGGGAUACGACGUUGAAGUUAACAAUUUAAGUAUUGAAAUACCAACAAAAUAUCCGGUAGAGCAAUUUCCCCCAACAACGUUCAACCCUGAUCCUGAAACUGGGCUGGAAUAUGUCCAGAUAGAGCUAACAGAACUUUCAACUGCAAUAAUUCUAAAUCUGAACCCUGAGAACGAUACCCUCGUUUAUGAGAUAUUCAUCAAAUGGGAUGUGACAUUGGAUUCAGACAAACCAAGAGAAACAUUAUAUGAUCACCAUGAUGUCAUUAUGCCCACAUCCGCUGAUGAGCCAACACUUUCAAAAUAUCAACUUAUUCUCCCCGAAGAAGUGGCUAAUACUACAAGCAAUUAUACAUUUGGUUACAAGGCAGUUGAUGUCUCGGAUCCAAUUAAGAUAAUAUUCCUUAAUGAUUUUGAAGAAAUGGAGAAAAAACUUGGAAAAGAAAACAUGUUAAAAGAUAUCAGGAAAGGUUUAGCAGAGAAAUUAAAUGUCCAUGAGCAUAAGAUUCACGACCUUAAAGUGGUUCAAGGCAGCGUCAUUGUAACCUUUGUCAUAUUAGAACCAAGGCAGGAACACGUAGAUACACUAAGAAAAGCUGUUAAUGAUUUACAGAAGCUUGACCUCACUAUGUCAAAUGGUGAUAGCUUGAUGCUGAAGCCAAAUGUUCGUCAUAGCAUACCAGAUAUAGGCCCAAGCUCGUUGAAUGGCACCCAGCCUAAUGUCACAGCAUCUGUGUCCACUAGCAGAUGUAGGGCAUGGAACUCCAAAGAGGAAGCUUGGGAUUCAUCAAACUGUAAGGUAUCUCCGAAGUCAACACCAAUUAAAACAAUUUGUAAAUGUAAAAAAGCCAAUCGAGACAUCGGAUCAUUCUCGGGAGGAGUAACUUUACCAAAAGUUAACACCAUCAACUUUAAGGCAGUGUUCAGCGAGUUUGGUACCCGGUUAUUGUCUAACCCAGCUGUAUUCGCCACGCUUAUUGUUAUGAUAGUGAUUUAUGUACUCAUCUUAAUAUGGGCACGUAGGGAGGAUAAAAAGGAUAUAGAAAAGUGGGGUGUUCGUCCUCUGCUUGACAAUUGUGUGACUGAGACUUAUUGUUAUUUAAUCACUGUGAAUACUGGUCUAAGAAGUGGCUCAGCAACCAUGUCCAAGAUCUCGUUUGUCCUGUCAGGCUCAGAUGGAGAUACAGGUGUACGCUACCUUCGAGACGGAAAACACGAAAUGCUAAAAAGAGGUAGUGUACACUACUACCUGCUGACCACAAGUGAAUGCCUUGGCGAGCUAGACACAUUGAGAGUGUGGCAUGAUAACUCCGGUAGCGCAUCUUACAAGAGUUGGUUCGUGGAUAAGAUUGUUGUUGAAGACAUACAAACUAAUAGUCGAGCAUUCUUUUUGUGCGGAUCGUGGUUAGCCCUUGAAGAGGCAGAUGGUUUAAUUGAUAGGACUUUCCAGGUUGCUUCUGAAGCUGAAAUUAAAGGAUUCAAUCAUCUUUUUUUUGCUUCAUCCCGUAAAAAUGCCACCGAUGAUCAUCUGUGGUUGUCUGUGGUGUCAAGGCCUACUAGAAGCAAUUUCACUCGGGCACAGAGAAUAACAUGCUGCAUUUCAAUCUUAUUCUGUACAAUGAUUGCAAAUGCCAUGUGGUACAGGAGUGACGAGACUGUUACCCAAGAUCAAGCGUUAAGACUGGGACCAUUCGUCUUCACAAUAUCUCAGCUCUGGAUAUCCUUGAUUGGAAAUCUAACUGUUUUUCCAAUCAAUAUGAUCAUUGUAACACUGUUUAGAAGAGCUGCACCCAAGAAGUCACUGAUUGAGUCGACAUUGAAAAACGUUGAUUCAAAAGAACCAGUUAAUAAGAAAGCGCCAGCAAAAAAAUAUUUGGAGGAUGGUGAAAACAUACAAAAUAAAUCUGAAACCAAAUCUAACAAAAUGAAGAAAAUAAGCAAAAUACAAUUCCCCUACUGGUGUAUAUAUAUCGCAUGGGUGUUAGCCAUCCUGGCCAUUGCGUUACCCGGAUUCUUCGUGCUUCUCUACAGUUUGGAAUGGGGCAAGGAAAAGUCCGAAGAAUGGUUAACAUCGGUGUUGCUAUCCACUUUGCAAUCCACGCUUGUUAUCCAGCCAAUUAAGAUAUUCUUUAUUGCGAGCAUGGUGGCUUGGAUAUUUAAAAAAGUGGAAGGAGAUGAGCUUUCCGAGGACGAAAAAAGAAAAAAUGCCACGGCUGAAUUGGAUGAAGAAAUUCUAGAACAGUUGGGCGAUGCUAGAAAACAACACCGACCACAAGCACCUAAACCUAUAAGUCAAAGAAGACUUGAAGCGAUGAGAGCAAAGCGACAGCAAGAACUAAACAUGUGGGCAAUCCUGAAAGAAAUCUGUUUAUAUUUUCUGGUCAUUUUGUUGGUUUCCUUCAUUGCAUUUGGUUCGAAAGACAUUAAUAUAUACAGGCUCAAUGGUAAUCUCUAUGGUAGUUUGGCUGGUGCCUGGCCUGCCCCUCGGAUUCAUCUAGUUAAUUCUGGCCAUUCGUUUUACCAAUGGCUUGAGCUCACGGCAUUACCAGCACUGUACGCGGGUGCUAAUUACAAUGGCGAUGCACCUUCUGUAAGGGAGCAUAAAUAUUUAGAUGACCACGAGAAUUUUAGAGUUGGCGUCCCACGACUUCGACAAGUUAGAGUAAAACCUGCCCUUUGUAGUCCAGCAACAGAAGCAAAAGACAUUAUGAUUGAAUGUAACAAGGAGUAUAGCUAUACUGAUGAAGAAAAUAAAGAUUUCUUUCCUGGUUGGUUUACUGAGUUGACAAGUAAUGGAACUAUCGGGCCAUCACCCAUUGAUGCUGCAUACACAUAUCGAGAUGCAACAGACCUAAAGGCAGUGCCGUAUACAGGAGCAAUGGGUACAUAUGGUGGGGGUGGAUAUGUACAGGAGUUGGGUAGGUCAAUAAGGAACGCCAUUACAAUCGUGCGAAAAAUAAAGCAACAUGAUUGGAUUGAUUAUUACACAAGGGCAGUGUUCUUGGAGCUUACCAUCUACAAUCCGAAUGUGAAUUUAUUUGCAUUUGUGGAAUAUUGCGUUGAGUUUCCGGCAACUGGAAGUACCCUGCCUGCCCCACGAAUCACGUCAUUCAUGAUAUAUGAAGGUAUUGACAGUAACAGCACUCUAGUUCUAAUAGCAGAGCUGGUGUAUGCUAUCUACCUGAUUUACAUAACUGUUGUCAUGGUGAAGCAGAUACGAAAACAAGGCAGAAGUUAUUUCAAACAGCUUUGGAAUCUCAUAGAUAUAUUUGGCCUUACAACAAGUUAUAUGGCCGUUUGUAUGUUUAUUGGCAGGAUGAUAUAUGUCCGUCUAGUCAUGAGAGAAAUAGCAGAUAAUAAAGACAAAAGUGUCAGCUUUUCUGAGUUGAGUUUAUAUGAUGAGCUGUUUACUGCUUUGGUUGGAAUCAUCGCUUUCGUUGUUAACAUCAAGUUCCUUAGACUCCUGCGUUUUAAUCCACAUAUAGCCUUACUGAACAUGACCAUGCGUUGCUGUGCCAAAGACUUGGCGGGAUUUUCUGUGACGUUAGUCAUCAUAUUCAUGGCUUUUGCAUCGAUGGGAAAUAUAGCGUUUGCAGCCGGGUCAUAUGGGUUUUCGAGCUUUGGUCGAUCAGUUGUAAUGCUGUACUCCAUGAUGUUGGGGAAGAUAGAUUUUGAUGAACUCAAAGACUCCCACAAGAUCAUCGGACCUUGUUUCUUCAUUUCGUAUAUGGUGUUUGUCUUCUUCAUCAUUGUUAAUAUCAUUGUUGGUAUAAUCACUGAGGGCAGAAGCAUGGCUCAACAAAUGAAGCUAGAUGGAUAUGAUGACAUACAAAUGGUUCCAUUUAUCAUCCGCAAAAUCAAGGACGCUGUAGGAAUCAAGCAAACACAAGAUGAUACUGGGGAGUGUAGGCCAGAUCAAUAUGUUGAUACUAUGGAUACCCUUCAAAUGCGUGUCGACCAAAUAGAUGCCCUGGUAACAAAUGCUUUCCGAGACAUGAGUCUAACUAAGGCAAAGGCUGUGGACAAUUACCACAAACAGGCAUCUUCGUGGAGAGACGAGCCUGUUGAUGCCCUUGGUGAUAUCCCUUUGACGACCCUUGAUAAAUAUGCACACUUAGCCCCAGGUGAUUGGGAUUAUAAAAGUGAAAGGAGACCUGCAUCCCCUGGCGGCGUGAUACUAAGUUCUCACAAGUAAAGAGCAUACAAAUACCGAUAGUGAUCGACAUAAUGGCAACGACCGACCAUCGCUAAAAAAUAUGGACUACGAAAAUGGAUAUUUUUUAAUCGUUCAAUCCUUCCCUAAUUGAACUUGCUAAAUCUAUCAUCAGAAGUAGUUAAACCUAUUAGAAAAAUUAUUUCUAGCCCAUAACAUUUCGGGUAUUGUAGUAUCCAUGCACUAUAUGGAGUGGCAUAUGAAUCCUCCCUUUCUGUCAUUUAGAAACACUUAGAGCUGCUCGUAUAAGAGUGGUAAUAAUAGUGCAAUAAGAUGAUUUAUGAACUAGAUUCUCCAAUAAUCAUAGUUUCUAACAGUCCCUUCACUGCCAAUCAACCUAGACAAGACAGACCUCCAUUUUUUAUUUUUCGAAGAUCUCGAGUUUUAGAAAUCGGAGUUAUCUGUUGCUAAUUAUAUUGUCAGUUUUUUGUUGCUAAUGCAUAUUUGUCGUUUUAAGAGAUUUUGAUUUUUUGAUUACAUCGUGUGCCACUCCAUAAGUUCAGAAUAAGCUAGAGACAUUUAACUUGCCAAAUUCAAUAAUCGAAAUCAAAAACCGUAUAUGAUUGAUUUUACAAAUGAUUUAUGAUAAGUGCUGUUCUUCCAAGGCCUCCUUUUCCAUAUCUCCCUCCCAUCGAUCAUUCAAUCUGAUACUCAUACAGGUAACAUCUUUCUGUUUCACCAGAAACAUCUCAAGCUCACUGGUGAGUAUCAAGCGAAGGUAACGACCGUCACCUUCGCAUCAAAGAUGUCAAAGGUGGUGUAAUUUCGAUAUUUUUAGUUUUCAUCGAAUUAAACUACUUUAUAGUUGACAUAAUGCUUUUAUAUUUGUCUUAAACCCGACUUAUAUGACAUGGAAACUCUGGGGUAUGAUCAUGUGUUCAUAUAUCAUGCGUGUGCGCCACUGUUAAACGGUAUCUUCAACCGCUUAAGGGGAGGUAACUGGGAUUUUUGUUGGAGUACUGUUCAAGCAGAAAAGAGGCCUUAGAAUAGAAUGUAUUAAUUUGGAUGGCAAGUUUUGUGUCACUUAUGCCGUAGUCCUAGACCUGUUUUUCUAUUUUAUUAAUUCUAUGAAUAGCAUACCUGCCACCUAUUACCUUAAAUCAGAAGAUGUGUUGGUUUUUCAAUUUUUCCACUUCUCAGUUUUCUUGCGUUGAAAUAGCUCUUAUGAUAUAUUCCUUCAUAUUUAUGUUAAAAUUGGACAUUCAAAAAGAGACAGGAAAAUUAAAAAAUUAAAUGUCAUUGUGAUGAAAAUUAUAUUUUUCCUUUCUAUAACAUUUUUCUUAAAUAUUAAUUAUUUAAUUAUCCAUUUUUCUCGAUUUCUCACUUUAUUCCUCGUUUUUCUCUUGGUUGAGAAUUAGAAAUACGAAACGUGCUUUUGAUUUUAUUGGCAAAUGGGUGGCAGGUAUAAAAUAAAUGUACACCACAAGUUCAAUAAAAAUGCACAUGCAGAAAAAAGCUUUAACAUUAUAGAAACUCCUAAACUGCCCCAACUCAACCCCAACCUUGGUGACAGACAUCAAAAAACAAGUAAUCAAAAUAAUGAUUUUCAAUAG
rnacentral:misc_RNA from 1 species